AGUAAGGUCAGCUAACUAAGCUUUUGGGCUCAUGCCCCAACAAUGUCGGUUCAAACCCCCCCCUUACAU
rnacentral:tRNA from 1 species